rnacentral:rRNA from 1 species
AUGAAGAACGUAGCGAAAUGCGAUACUUGGUGUGAAUUGCAGAAUCCCGUGAACCAUCGAGUUUUUGAACGCAAGUUGCGCCCGAAGCCAUUCGGUUGAGGGCACGUCUGCCUGGGCGUCACGUACCCACGCCUCCCACAAAACCCGUCCCCGUCUCGGGGCGAAGGAUUUUGCGGCGAGCGGAGAAUGGCCUCCCGUGCCGACCAUCAGGCGCGGCUGGCCUAAAAAAGAGAGUACCGAGUGACGGAACGUCACGACAAGUGGUGGUUUACAGGCCCUCGCGGCCGGCCGAAUCUAGUCGUGCGCGCGCUCGUUGAUCGGAAAAGCUCUCGUGCGAACCCCGACACGUCCGUGACGGACGCUACUGUCGCGACCCCAGGUCAGGCGGGACUACCCGCU